GCACAUUCACAAACGCACACGCUCACACACAACGUUUUGAUUGCAUUGUAGCGCUGAAGAAAGGCAGUCAAUCACCAGAGAUUUCCCCCGGUGUCAGAACAGCAGGAAAAUGUCAGGAUUCUCAGAGGAAAAACACAUUGGUUUUAAACCGAGGCGUGUAAUCCAUUUUGUCUGCUUGUUUCUUGUGAAACGUCGUUACUUUUGCAUACAACUGCUGCACCGCUGGGACAGAACCUUCAAACACAGCAACCCUCAGUUUUUCCACAGCUGUUGUUACACCUCAGCUGUAGUUUUCUGUUCUGGCCAUGAGAGGGCAGAGAGAGAGAUAAAGAAGCCAUUGUUCACUGUGAAGCCGGGAACUAUGAGAGCACAUUUGGAGGUCACUUUAAACUGAGUCCUUCUGAUCAAUCUGUCAUUUGGAGUUUUGCUUUAUUUGGAUGCAGGGCACACUUGCAGAAUCAUGCCAUGAGGUAUGCCUGGAGGCUUUUUGCUUUGAUUUCGGAAGCACAACUUCCUUGAAAAAAGUCUUUCCACAAAAAUUGGGAAAUUCUUAACAUAUUUGUCUGUAUAACAGCUUCAGAGAUUCAGAGAUGUCCUGGUGAUUCAGUCGGGCCCACUUUAUUUUGUGGAUGCAAAGUUUGCUCUUGGGGUCAUAAGCUCAAAGGAAACUCAUGAGGUUAAGGGAGUCUAACAUUAAAACAUUAAAAAAAGUUUUCUUCUGUGAUGCCAGAGUUUCUCAGAUUGGAGUUUUGUUUUUUGUUUUUCUUUUUUUAAUUCACAUAUUUGUGGUAAAAAUCUGUGACUCAGUUUUGCACCUUCAAGGUAAUUUAAGCAUUGAACCAAUUGACUGAGAAGAAAAACAAUAACUUUUUUCAUUUCCAGGAUUAAGUGCAUCAUGAACAUUUAGACAAUAAUUUCUUGACUAUGCAAAUAAGAUGAAAACAAAGUCAUUAACCUUCAGAGUUCUGGUUUUGUGUCCUAUGAGAGAGUUUGAGUUAGCAGCAAAUGCAUGUCAAGCAGAACAA